GGCUGAGAUUUAAGGCCCAUAUAUGGGCCGGAUCGUGGCUUCCACGAAGCCCAUACUUGUAAAUGGGCUGACAUUUAAGGCCCAUUAUAACAAGGCCUUUGGGUCAAGUUCGGCCCAGAUCAGUGCACAAGCCGUCGACUUCCGCCGCCGGCGGCUUCGUCGACGGCGGCGACAUCGAUCGCCGUCGCCGGCGGACAGAUGAUCCCCCCUCACGACACCGUUGGAACCCUGUGAGCGAUAGUUACCACAGUGCAACUUGAGAAUUGCUGCCUGAUGACCCUCUGAAUGAUUGCAUCAGUUGCGGAGUCGAUGGAUGCCGUUGCUUCAUCUAACACAAGAAUCUUGUUCCUACGGAGGAGAACUCUGCCAAGACAGAAGAGCUGCCGCUGCCCAACACUCCAGUUACUGCCAUCAUCACUCACUACAAUUGGCCAAAUGAACAAAUUGUUUGAGAUUUCUAAAAAUAUUUUGCAUGGUAACUUUUUUCCUCUGAAAUUGAUGUCACUUACCUACUGUAUCAAGAAGAGCAGGUGUGCUGCGAAUGGCUGUCUGUAGUUGACACUUCUCCAAGGCCUGAAACGUUCAGUGUUAGUUUAAUCAAUUCAUGAAACCAUUUUGGUCUAAACAAAGACCAAGAGGAUCCAAGUUGUUGCGCACAGUUCCUCUGAAAAGUGAUCAACGAGGCGGAACAAUGAGCUGAUGAGUGUCGAUUUCCCACUUCCCGUUCUCCCUACAACCCCAAUUUUGUUUCCAGCAGGAAAUGUGCAAGUGAUUCCUUUGAGGACAAGAGGCAUGUUUGGGCGGUAUCUGACCUGC